rnacentral:miRNA from 1 species
UUGUCAGCUGCAGUUGUUGC